AAAAACCUGAGGCAUUUUGUUCUGAAUCUGAUUCCUUGUUGGCCAUAUAUUUAUACUACCCAGUACAAAGUACAAAAAAUUUGACCAGGUUAUUAAUUUUCUACUAACAGUUGAAACAUGAACAUUAAAUCUACAAGCUAAAUCUUGCUCAAAUAAACCACACUUUAGUCUGCACAGAAACAUAAACAACUCGUCUAUUAAAACCAUAUAGUCCUUUGUCUGGAAACAGACAAAUUAACAGUGUCAGUGGCUUUAUAAUAAUAGCUGGUCAUAGAAUUAGCAGCUGGUUGAAUGUAAUUAAAGAAAGCCAAGAACAAAGUAUAAGUUGAAAAACCAGUAAAAAACAUAAUCAUUGAAUUAUCAUUAGAAAAUCUGCACACCACAAAAACGUUCUAUUCUUAACUUCUCCUUUAACUGUUUAAUCUCUUCAUCUCUCUCUUUCAACUUUCUCUCUAGUUCUUUCUCUAUGUUUUCAGCUACCACACCACUUAAAUUUACAUUAUUCAAAUUAUUUAAUCAAUGCAACAGCAAAAUAUGAGAAAACCCAGAGCUGAAAUUUACAAUUGUGUAUUAAUACUACAGAAAAAAAUUUGCACCGAUUCUUAAAUUUGGUUAAAAACAUUCAAGUUCCUUUGCAAUUUUUAUACAAAUAGUCCUAAUGUCAAUAUUAGAAAUUAUGUAACUGAAAUGUCAGAUACAUUUAUAUUGCUCUAGGUACUACUAUUGAUGGUAGGGCUCUAAUUAAUUGAUUAAUCAUACCUAGUAUCCCCCAAAUAUUCUUCAGAUUCAAUAUCUUCUUCCUGGUUUACCUCCUCUGACUGAAAUAAGAAUUAAUGACUGAAAUUAACAAUCUACAUGUAACUGGCUGUCUGGUCUUAUAAUUAGUAAACAGUACAAACAUCAGUUAUACAUUGUACUUAUAGCCUGGUAAUGACAUUCAUCCAGAUGAGAAAUUCAAAAUAUUGUAUGUAAUUUGUAAAAGAAAAGAGGGACGAAAGAUACCAAAGGGACAGUCAAACUCAUAAAUCUAAAACAAACUGACAACGCCAUGGCUAAAAAUAAAAAAGACAAACAGAAAAACGA
rnacentral:lncRNA from 1 species